GAUCCUCGAACGUGUCGUCCGGCGGCAUCUGGUGCCGGUGGAACACGAUACGCACGUCCGUGGCCGUCACCCAGUCCUGCAGCACCGGCGACGAGUCGA
rnacentral:miRNA from 1 species